rnacentral:tRNA from 1 species
GGUCUUAUGGUGUACUGGUUAGCACUUCGGACUCUGAAUCCAGCGAUCCGGGUUCGAAUCCCGGUAGGACCU